UGGGGAAUUUUGCACAAUGGGGGAAACCCUGAUGCAGCGACGCCGCGUGAUUUAGAAGGCCUUCGGGUUGUAAAAAUCUUUUUUACGGGAUGAAAAUGACAGUACCGUAAGAAUAAGGUCCGGCUAACUACGUGCCAGCAGCCGCGGUAAUACGUAUGGACCGAGCGUUGUCCGGAAUCAUUGGGCGUAAAGGGUACGUAGGCGGCCUAGUAAGUUAGAAGUGAAAUAAUAUAGCUCAACUAUAUAAAGCUUUUAAAACUGCUAGGCUUGAGAGAUGGAAGGGAAAGUGGAAUUCCUAGUGUAGCGGUGAAAUGCGCAGAUAUUAGGAAGAAUACCGGUGGCGAAGGCGACUUUCUGGUCAUCAUCUGACGCUGAGGUACGAAAGCGUGGGUAGCAAACAGG
rnacentral:rRNA from 1 species